UCCGUAGGUGAACCUGCGGAAGGAUCAUUAGUGAAUAUAGGACGUCCAACUUAACUUGGAGUCCGAACUCUCACUUUCUAACCCUGUGCACUUGUUUGGGAUAGUAACUCUCGCAAGAGAGCGAACUCCUAUUCACUUAUAAACACAAAGUCUAUGAAUGUAUUAAAUUUUAUAACAAAAUAAAACUUUCAACAACGGAUCUCUUGGCUCUCGCAUCGAUGAAGAACGCAGCGAAAUGCGAUAAGUAAUGUGAAUUGCAGAAUUCAGUGAAUCAUCGAAUCUUUGAACGCACCUUGCGCUCCAUGGUAUUCCGUGGAGCAUGCCUGUUUGAGUGUCAUGAAUACUUCAACCCUCCUCUUUCUUAAUGAUUGAAGAGGUGUUUGGUUUCUGAGCGCUGCUGGCCUUUACGGUCUAGCUCGUUCGUAAUGCAUUAGCAUCCGCAAUCGAACUUCGGAUUGACUUGGCGUAAUAGACUAUUCGCUGAGGAAUUCUAGUCUUCGGACUAGAGCCGGGUUGGGUUAAAGGAAGCUUCUAAUCAGAAUGUCUACAUUUUAAGAUUAGAUCUCAAAUCAGGUAGGACUACCCGCUGAACUUAAGCAUAUCAAUAAGCGGAGGA
rnacentral:rRNA from 1 species